GGUUCGUCCCACCCAGAUUUAAAUUCACCUCGUUCGGUCCCCCCCACUUAUAGGGAGGAAAAAACGUCUAUGCUGUCUUUCUUUGCAUAAGGCAAACCUCACGGAAAAAAUCAAAAGACUAAUUACCAUUCGGUUUAUUGAGGUGCACAGCAGUGUAUACAUAGUUGCAACUGCACAGACUGCACAGGUUGCGAGCUCGAGCUUGGUUGCAAUGGUUACCCACAAGUUUGACAGGCAUAUCGGGGACAGCUCCUCCUAGUUCAGGACCCCAACACGGCAUGACGAAGGGUGCCAAAAGGCAGAAAACGAUUGCAUCGUUAAAAAAAAAAAAAAAACGACUCUGGACUGACCAGUAGGAAGCAAGGGCAGAUGGCCACCCAACACACCCUCCAAAACAGACCAGGGGAGAAGCCAAGCAUCAGCUGCACGUCAUUGCAGAAACGCGUUGUCCCUAGACACACACAUAGACACACAGUAAGGCCACAUAAUAUAGUACCGAACCACAGAAGAUUUUCUAGAUGGCUCUGUGAAAAUUCAGGUAUUCACCAUAAAACCAGGAAACAGCAAUGACUUCGAGGAAGACGACAGUGAUGACAGCAGGGCCUGUUGCAUAUUCUUCGAACAGUUUCACCACGAAUGCCCCUCCCUAUAUCAACACCAUACUGCAGAGUGGAAUGUCAGAGAACUCACAUAGGUAAGUGUGGAGAGAGCUCCCAGGUAGCAGACACACACCAGACCAAGAACAAACCACUCUCUUCUGCGGGCGAACAGGUGGGGAAACUCAUCCAAGACAGCAGUGAUAACUCCUUCCAGCCCAGCAAACUGCAGGUGGAGAUGUAAAUGAUGCUAAUAAAGUGGGUGCCACUGGUUACACAAUGCAGACACUGGCAUUAACUAUAACUAUAACAAACACACACUCACAGCUCAGUGCAUUCUGACAAAUCCAAGUGUUGAGCAGGAACAAAGACCAGACCCACCAAUAAUCUCAUUAGUGCAUCGUGAUAAGCACAUGCUGUCAUUCAUUGUGGCUGUUUACCACAGAAACUGUACGAGUGGUUUCAUAUGAUCCUUUAGGGAAGAGGCAUUUAGAAGGGCAAACCAGGGACAGCAGAGAGUGACCAACAACCUAAGCACAGCAAUUGGCAGACAAUACUGUGUCGGCCAACAUGUUGUGCUCUUGGCUGAAAAGCUAAAUGCUUACUAAAAACCUGCUUAGGGCUCCACAUACUAUUAUUAAGAUAGGCUGAAAGAGCUGGGCUAAUUAACAAGUGGGACAGAGAGACUGACCGUGCUAUCUAAUCCCAGCAUGAUGAUCAUGAGGAAGAAAAUAAUGGCAAGGAAAGUGCUAGCAGGCAUGUUGGAGAUGGCCUCGGCAUAGACGAUGAAAAGUAGACUGGGACCUUUAACAAGAGGCAAAUUUGAAGAAGAACUUCAUUAGACAAUGCAGCAACAGAGUCCAAGCUUUUGUGUACUCUUAACACACAUAUAUCUCUUCGGCAUGUUUUAUAGAAAGCCAAUGAGGAAACAGAAUGUUGUGUCUUUACAUUUAAGAUGUUGGUACAAAUAAAGCUUCUGGUUCUCACCAGCAUCCUUUGCGACUGUCUCCACCCUCUCCUUCCGCAUCUCAGCCAUGUAUCCAAGUACGGUGAAGAUCACGAAGCCUGACAUGAAGCUGGUCAGACAGUUCACUGAGCUCGUCAGCAAUGCAUCUCUGAGACACAAAUAAAACCUAUUUACAGAAUUCUGUCUUUUUCGUUAUUUAAUGAGUUAAUUAAAGCUAAUUCGGUAAAUAUUCACAUUAUAAUAUGGUGUAAACGAUGUACAAAUCACUAAUCUGUUUAUAUUUAGCAUUAUAAUGGUCAUAUUUUGAAUUUUUAAAUUAUAUACAUCAAACAUUAUUUAAUAUUGACAAAAUGAUCCAUUAGUAGUGGGCUUUGAGAAACAACCAAGAGCAGAUAAGAUCAGAUCUUUAAUAUUUGAAAUCGUAUAGCCGUGUACUUGUAACAGUUGUUGUGAAAGGGAUUGUAGCUGGCAAAGGCUAGGAGCACACCAAAACCUGGACCCAGAGAGAAGAAGAUCUGGGCUGCUGCAUCAAUCCAAACCUAACAAACAAAGAGAAGGAGAGAAAUUUGAUCAUGGAAAAGUUGAGGACAAUAUCAGAUACAAUAUCACAAUAUAAAAAGUCUCGCUAAGGAUCGAGCUUGCUUUUAGAUUGUUUGUCUUUUCACCGUAGUGGUCAGGAGCUUCUCCCAGUUAGGCUUCAGGUAGAAGACAACGCCUCUCCAUGCUCCAGGCAGAGUGGCACCUCGCACUAGAAGGAUCAACAGAACCACAUAUGGAAGGGUUGCUGUCACCCAUACUACCUACCAGAGAAAAGAAUGCAUAAGUUAGAUAGCAUAUGAUAUGAUAUGAUAUAUGAUAUGAUAUGAUAUGAUAUGAGCGCUGGGACCUUCUGUCCAUGGCUAUUACUGGACUCCUGGCCCAAGAAGGCUAUAGCAAUGCUAAGGUUCAUUUUAGUAAUAGGGCUGCGAACUCCGAGACUGUUGCACCACUUGGAAGCCCCAUGAGUUAAGGUUUAAAUCUUUCCUAUGUCGUUCUUUCUUCUCACCUUGCCAGAGGUCUUAACUCCCUUCCAGAUGCUGAAGUAGACGAUGGUGAAGAUGAAGAGCAGACAGAGCGCCAGCUGCCAGCUCACUGCACCCAGCUGAUGAAGACCUGGGGACAGGUGCAGCUGCAAAACCUUCCGUCUGAGACAUUGAGAGAGAGAGAGAGAGAGAGAGAGGAAAUUCCUGCUGAUAUAGCAAGAUAAGCUUAUUGGCCCCCAGUGUGGAAUAAGCCUUAACCUCAACAAAGUCUGCAAAUCUCCCCUAAAUCAUCAGAAUAAAGUGAAGCUAACCAGUCCAAACCGGUUUCAAUCUACAAAAGACAUUAAUAUUUGCUCUUCUAAUGCUCCUGGCACUUACAUGCACUUACGUAUAGAACUCCUCGGCAGGCGACAUGGAUUCAUUGGUCCAGGAAAUGUUGCUAUCAGUGAAUAGAUACUGCUUGCAGUUGGCCGUGUUCCAGGAAUUUUUGCAUGUCGCCCACGGAAGCGUUGAGUUGAAAGAAGACAACAGGUAAUACAGAGCCCAGGCCAUGAUGGUGUUGUAGUAGAAGGCGAUGUACAGCGCUAUAAUGCAGAUGGCAAAACCAAUACCUACAAAAGAGACGCAGGAAAAGAAGUUCAUCUGCUUCGCUCUGCUUCAAGCGGCUUCCACUUCAGAAAGAGACAGGCUGAUGACAUUUAGGACAGUUCAAUAAACUCGAAGUUCUAUAUAAGUUGGCAUUUUGUAUGGGAAAUGUGACAAUUUCCAUAACAGAGAGUACAACAGCUAUCAACAAAGCAGCACACAAGCACGAAAGAGAGCAUUAUCGGUUUCGUCGCUCCCAUCCUUUCCAUCUAGCACCAGUCAGCUUGGUGCAACUUAGACUGCUUUUCUAGUCAUAAAAGUAGGAAGGUGCCGAUAUAAAAUUUUCAUAUCAUGCUAAUUCCUUAUCCUUUUUUUUAAUCAAUGUGUGUGAAAUUAGCCUUACUGUAUAUUGUACUAGAAAAAUCUUGUACUUGUUUUACUGGGCAGCAUUUUACGUGAAAAGGAACCUUGAAAGCUGCAUCAAAAAUGCAAAAACCAGGAAUGAUAUUCUGCAGUGCCGAUAAUAUCAAUAUUCAGUGUGCUGAAUACAAACAACUUUAUUAUAAACCGAUAUUAUUUGGACAUGCCUUCUCAGAUGUGUGAGCUGUGAAAGAGAGAGAGAGAGAGAGAGAGAGAGAGAGAGAGAGAGAAGUCUUACCUUUGAAGAUAGGGCAAAUGUGUUUCCAGAUGGAUAUGCAGCCACUGCGGUGGAACUGCCCGAGUGCCAGCUCCAUGUAGAACAGAGGAACCCCGCCAAACACUGCCAUUAACAGGUAAGGCAACAGGAAUGCACCUGGAUGAAUAGUUGGGACAGGAAUACUUUAGAGAACAGCAGUUAGUCAACAGGCUUAAACAUGUGAUAAAUGCUUGAAUUCUCUGGAACUGAGGAAAAACCUCAAUUUUAAUUUCAUUCAUUCAUAUCAAAAGGUGAUUUUAAAAAUCCGUGAAAAAACAAAAAUGAAAAAUGGAAACGUGUGCAUGUUUCACCCUGCAAAAGUAAAGAGUGGUAGAGAAAGGCAGCACAAGUUCAGAAAAACCUUCCUGUUUGAUUAAAGCUUUAUUUUUGUGAUUUUGACAUGAGUGCAAAGAUAGCAGCUGAUUUAGUAGCUGUGAGGCAGGUUAUUAAACAAUAAGAGAUUGAAGUCCCUCUCAUGAAAGCCACAAUUAGAGUUGGUAGUAGCGAGUGUAUCCCUAGCUGCUCUAUCUCUCUCUCGCCCUCCCAUCUUGCAUGGUCAAACAGGAAAUUACAAAGAUUUUAUUAUUUCAAAUUCAAAGGAAGGAGGCUGAAUCCUGUUUGGAGUAAGAACGUGAGCGGUCGAGUAUAAAGAAGAGAAAGAACAGCAGAGUUCCCUAUUGAAAAAACAAAACAAAACACACUGUCUAUUUGUUCUCGCUAAAGCACACAGAAUCUAAUCGAUCAUGUUUCAGAAAAGAAACACAAAUCUUUCUGACAAGUUCUUGUGAUCAUUAAGUUGCUCUUGGGUUCAGUCGGGCUCGAGAUUACCACUGGCAGAAUGUCAUGCGUGAAAUGGUGACUGCUGACUGUCAGGUGGUGUAAAUGUUUUGUUCCGUCCUCUGCCUAUAAACUCACCCCCUCCAUUCUGGUAGCAGAUGUACGGGAAGCGCCACACAUUGCCCAGGUCCACUGCGUAGCCAAUAACCGACAGAAGGAAAUCCACCUUCUUACUCCAUGUCUCCCUGGGCGGAUCCAGACUGGUCUGCUGGACCACAAGCGUCCUGAAUCCCCCAGGAGCACUUGUCCUGUCCCCGAUAGCCCCAGUGCCUUCCCUUGGGCUCUGAGCUGAUGUGCUGGGGUAUCCAUUUGAGACCUGUGUGGGCCCAGAGACUGGUUUCUGUCCUUUCUCAGCAAUGCUGCCAUCCACCAACCUGCCAUUCUCUUCAGAUUUGUCCCUCUCAUCUUGUUCCUCUUGGUUCAUCAUCACUGCCUGUUUCAUCUCCAUGGUCAAGGGUGAGAUGCUGUGAUGGGCUCUGAUGAAAGUUUUCUAGCACUGGCUGAUAUGGGGCCCAUGAGGGGAUUCAGACGAUGGAGAAGAAAAGUUGGACUGGCAGAUCAGGAGAAUGUAACUAUAGCAGCAAUGGACCUGAUUGUUUAGUCCACUUUAACAACCUCCGACAAACCCCUCCUGCAAAAAAGAAAAGAAAGAAAGAAAGAAAGAAAGAAAGAAAGAAAGAAAGAAAGAAAGAAAAAGAUAAUUUUAUAGGGAACUUCAGAAUGUUGACACUUUCCAUUUUUUAAUUUUUCACAAGUCCACACUAGUGACAUAGAAAAUAUACAAUCCAGUCCAGCAAUUACUUAUCUGACUGCUGUGAGUCCAAACAAAUUGCAUCUAAUAUGAAUCACGCACAGACUCGGCAACAUGGGGUUAAAAACUGUAAAAAGCAAAAUAAAUAAAAUAAAACAAAACAAAAACCAACCAACCAACCAAACAACAACAAACAAAACAACCCGGGAGGGUAUUUGUACAAGCCUGUACAAAAUUACACCCAGGGGACCUACCGGAACGCAUUUAUUUAUUUUAUUUCCACUUGACAUUGCUGGUGUUGCUGAAAUUAACGUGAGGCAUUUGAAAUGCCUGGUCUUUGCCUUUAUUUGAAACAAAGACAAACAGAGAAAUUAGGAAAUGAAAACUUGAGAAAAGAAGUUGUGAAAUAUGAACAAGAAUGCGUACCUCAGCUGAAACUAUACUGGACAAAUAAACUUUAAAGACAUGACAUCAGUGCUUUCCUGCUGUUUUUACAGCAAGCAAUGAAUUAUUUAUAAUAACGGGAAAUCAAGAGGUGUCAAGAGCUUGAGGGGAAAUUAAGAAUGAAAUUGAGAAACCAAACUGCAGUACACCAAGGGUCAUUUGUAAGCAUUAAUGAAAUUAUUUCUUUGUUCGGAAAUGACAAAUUUAAUAUAAUUGUCUGAAAUCAGUUACAACAGCUCUUGCAAAGCAACAAUAGAGCAAUGAAUACCCUCAUGCCUCCUCUUAUUUCAUUAAUUUAUUUAUUUGUUUUCACAAGACAGAAGGUAGUUGUGUCCUGAUCUUUCACUUUCUUUGCCAGAAAAAGAAAUGAAUCUAAAAUACCCAUAAUGAUACUUUAAACAAUAUCAACCUUAAACAAUAUUCUCUUAAAAAAAGAAUACCCUUUUAAAACAUCUAAACCAUUUGGCACAGCAGUUUGCCCACACAUGCAUUUCAUAAAGUUUCCAGUGGAAGCAGGUUUCCAAUGUUCCUUCGGCUCGACGUUUUUAUUAGGCAUUCAUAACGAUUAAUUGUGUACAACCAAACCAUCUCCACCUAAAUUUCCUCUUAAUUAUUUUUUAAUGGUAAUAGCCGGUGUGGUGAAGGUGGAAAGUGUUACACAAACAAUCAGCACACAGCUUGAUUUAUGCACAGUUACCAUUAUUACAGUUUAAUAUAUUAAAUAAGACUUUCCUUAACGCAUACACUACCGUUCAAAAUUUUGGGGUCACUUUGAAAUGUCCUUAUUUUUGAAAGAAAAGCACUGUUCUUUUCAAUGAAGAUCACUUUAAACUAAUCAGAAAUACACACUAUACAUUGCUAAUGUGGUAAAUGACUAUUCUAGCUGCAAAUGUCUGGUUUUUGGUGCAAUAUCUCCAUAGGUGUAUAGAGGCCCAUUUCCAGCAACUCUCACUCCAGUGUUCUAAUGGUACAAUGUGUUUGCUCAUUGCCUCAGAAGGCUAAUGGAUGAUUAGAAAACCCUUUUACAAUCAUGUUAGCACAGCUGAAAACAGUUGAGCUCUUUAGAGAAGCUAUAAAACUGACCUUCCUUUGAGCAGAUUGAGUUUCUGGAGCAUCACAUUUGUGGGGUCGAUUAAAUGCUCAAAAUGGCCAGAAAAAUGUCUUGACUAUAUUUUCUAUUCAUUUUACAACUUAUGGUGGUAAAUAAAAGUGUGACUUUUCAUGGAAAACACAAAAUUGUCUGGGUGACCCCAAACUUUUGAACGGUAGUGUAGUCCCUGAGUACCACAAUAGAACACAAGGGCUCAAUACAUUUAAACGAGAAACUCUAUCUGGUCUUUAAAAAGAGCCAGCGCAAAAUGAAAAAUUAUUUUUCUUUCACCCUGGAGGAAAGCUAAACCGUCAUCGAAAUACGACUAAAAUAUGUUUACAGAUGGCAGCCUUGAGAGAAAUAAAUAGAAACCACUUGCGUACA